UACGGGGGGGGCAAGCGUUGUUCGGAAUUACUGGGCGUAAAGGGCUCGUAGGUGGCCAACUAAGUCAUACGUGAAAUCCCUCGGCUUAACCGGGGAACUGCGUCUGAUACUGGAUGGCUUGAGGUUGGGAGAGGGAUGCGGAAUUCCUGGUGUAGCGGUGAAAUGCGUAGAGAUCAGGAAGAACACCGGUGGCGAAAGCGCUCUGCUAGGCCGCAACUGACACUCAUGGACGAAAGCUAGGGGAGCGAAUGGG
rnacentral:rRNA from 1 species